AGUGAACGCUGGCGGUAGGCCUAACACAUGCAAGUCGAACGGCAGCACAGUAAGAGCUUGCUCUUACGGGUGGCGAGUGGCGGACGGGUGAGGAAUACAUCGGAAUCUACUUUUUCGUGGGGGAUAACGUAGGGAAACUUACGCUAAUACCGCAUACGACCUACGGGUGAAAGCAGGGGAUCUUCGGACCUUGCGCGAUUGAAUGAGCCGAUGUCGGAUUAGCUAGUUGGCGGGGUAAAGGCCCACCAAGGCGACGAUGCGUAGCUGGUCUGAGAGGAUGAUCGGCCACACUGGAACUGAGACACGGUCCAGACUCCUACGGGAGGCAGCAGUGGGGAAUAUUGGACAAUGGGCGCAAGCCUGAUCCAGCCAUACCGCGUGGGUGACGAAGGCCUUCGGGUUGUAAAGCCCUUUUGUUGGGAAAGAAAAGCAGCAGGUUAAUACCCCGCUGUUCUGACGGUACCCAAAGAAUAAGCACCGGCUAACUUCGUG
rnacentral:rRNA from 1 species